rnacentral:misc_RNA from 1 species
GCAAACUUGGUCAUUUAGAGGAAGUAAAAGUCGUAACAAGGUCUCCGUAGGUGAACCUGCGGAGGGAUCAUUAACGAACGGCCUUCGGGCCUUCAAAACCCCAUCGAACCCGUGGACCGAUCAGGGCGUGCUUCGGCGUCCCUAGGACGCCGCGUCCAUGCAGAUAACGAGUCUGUCGUCUGAUCCAGAAACCAUGAGAAUCUAAAACUUUCAACAAAGGAUCUCUUGGCUCUCGCAUCGAUGAAGAACGCAGC